AGCGGCGGACGAGUGAGUAACACGUGGGUAACCUGCCCAAGAGACUGGGAUAACACCUGGAAACAGAUGCUAAUACCGGAUAACAACACUAGACGCAUGUCUAGAGCUUGAAAGAUGGUUCUGCUAUUACUCUUGGAUGGACCUGCGGUGCAUUAGCUAGUUGGUAAGGUAACGGCUUACCAAGGCAAUGAUGCAUAGCCGAGUUGAGAGACUGAUCGGCCACAUUGGGACUGAGACACGGCCCAAACUCCUACGGGAGGCAGCAGUAGGGAAUCUUCCACAAUGGACGAAAGUCUGAUGGAGCAACGCCGCGUGAGUGAAGAAGGGUUUCGGCUCGUAAAGCUCUGUUGGUAGUGAAGAAAGAUAGAGGUAGUAACUGGCCUUUAUUUGACGGUAAUUACUUAGAAAGUCACGGCUAACUACGUGCCAGCAGCCGCGGUAAUACGUAGGUGGCAAGCGUUGUCCGGAUUUAUUGGGCGUAAAGCGAGUGCAGGCGGUUCAAUAAGUCUGAUGUGAAAGCCUUCGGCUCAACCGGAGAAUUGCAUCAGAAACUGUUGAACUUGAGUGCAGAAGAGGAGAGUGGAACUCCAUGUGUAGCGGUGGAAUGCGUAGAUAUAUGGAAGAACACCAGUGGCGAAAGCGGCUCUCUGGUCUGCAACCGACGCUGAGGCUCGAAAGCAUGGGUAGCGAACAGGAUUAGAUACCCUGGUAGUCCAUGCCGUAAACGAUGAGUGCUAAGUGU
rnacentral:rRNA from 1 species